rnacentral:tRNA from 1 species
UCCCGGGUCGUCUAGUCGGCAGGACGGGGUCUUUUGGCGUCCCAAACCGAGGUUCGAAUCCUCGCCCGGGAG